rnacentral:lncRNA from 1 species
AAAUUAUAGGUAUGAGCAAGUUUAUAAAGGAAACUUUUUAAUUCAAUUCAUUCUCAAUGGCACUAUUAGAGUUAACAUGGACUUUUUAGCUUUUAUUGACCUUGGUACCAAAAAUCGGUUUAGACCAAAAAGGGAUGACAGCUUUUAUGACGUGGUUUGGAUUUCUACCCAAUUUUGCUGUCAUUGGACCCAAUGUACUACUAACUACUACUACUAUUUAGACCACAGGUUGUGACCUAUUCCAAAUCAUCGUCCUU